rnacentral:rRNA from 1 species
UACGGGGGGGGCAAGCGUUGUUCGGAAUUACUGGGCGUAAAGGGCUCGUAGGCGGCCAACUAAGUCAGACGUGAAAUCCCUCGGCUUAACCGGGGAACUGCGUCUGAUACUGGAUGGCUUGAGUUUGGGAGAGGGAUGCGGAAUUCCAGGUGUAGCGGUGAAAUGCGUAGAUAUCUGGAGGAACACCGGUGGCGAAGGCGGCAUCCUGGACCAACACUGACGCUGAGUGAGCGAAAGCCAGGGGAGCGAACGGG